CACAUCUCACCUCAACCUUCUCCAAAUAUGUCCGGAGCAGGAGGCAAGUGGAUGGCCUCCUCCGUCACGGAGGGGCAGAUCCAGAAGCUGCGCAGCGCCGGAUACUUGUCCAGCGACAUCGCGCACCGGCUCCCCUACGAGGGAGAGCUCAUCCCCACCCUCGGGCCCCAUGAGAGGGUAGUAUUCCUUCCCCAUUUCCUCCGCGGACUGGGCUUCCCACUCCAUCCCUUUGUCCGGGGGCUCAUGUUCUACUACAGCCUGGAUUUCCAUGAUCUGGCCCCGAAUUUCAUCCUCAACAUCUCG
rnacentral:rRNA from 1 species